rnacentral:lncRNA from 1 species
CAGAAAAUUAAUAAUGGGGCUCGGAGGAAAUGUUCGACUCGGAGGCAGUAGCGGAGAUUUACGGCCUUCCUGGUGGAUGCCAGGGAAAAGUCUGAGAGCACCCGGAGCAGACAAAGGCCCGCGGUUUCGCCAGGCGCUCCCGGAGAGCUAAUUUGGCUUAACGGACGGAGGAGCCGGGGAAUUUCCCCGUGUGAUCCAGCAGGUUGCUGGAGAGGGAUUUCUCGGGAGGCACAGAGCGGCUGGGGGUGGGAGGCAGGGACCCAGCCCUCAGCCCCCGGGCACAGCACGUGGCUGGGCUGGGCUGCUCCGGAGGAGGGCUCCGUGGGCAGGAACCCACCCCAGGCACCCCACAGCUCUGCGGGGAUCCCCCAGAUUCCCCAGGAUGCUGCACGUGCCGCUCUGAAACCUCAGCUUUCCUCCGAGCACCCUUCUCCCAGCCUCCCCGGCACCAGGCGCGCUCUGGGAGUGCUGCACCUCCCCGGCCCUCGCGAUAAACAAAAGCCGCUUAUUUCCCCUUGCGUGGGUCCUCUGCGGGGGAAGCAGUGGGUGGUGUUUAUUUGGACAGCAGAGAGGCCUGUUCCCCCAGCUUGCUGGGUAGUGCGCGCUGUCCAAGAUGAAAACAUCGGCCGUUUAUUUGAGUCUCGCGCUGGCUGUGUAAAUACAGGGCUCGCUUCGGCAGAUGCCGGCUGGCGGCUCUGCGGAGCGGGGCUGCUCCUCGCAUCCCCCGGGCAAGCAGGGCCACCCGGCCCUACACCCCAUGGACACAGGCGGAGAGAGCUGGGGACGGCCGUGGCCGUGCUGUAGGGUCAGAGCUGUGUAGGGCCGGGGGUGAGGAGCAUCCCGCUUCCAACAUCCCGGAGCUGGCAGAGCGGGGAGCUGCCUGCAGGUCUGUCUGCAACCACGCCACCCUUUUUGGGGUGGCCCUGUCCCUGGGGACCAUGGGGACUGCUCGUCUCCUUUGCCUUGUCCUCCCUGCUGCAGCCGAGGUGGGAAGCCCCAGCAGGGGGGAGCCGGCGGGUUUCUCCAGAUGGUGCCCCGCUGACCCCAGCCGUUCCCCGUCUUUGGCUCUUCCUUAGAAAAACACAGCGCAGGCCAGCUCAUCGAUUAAUCGUUUCCUCAUGUUCCCCCCGCG